ensembl:snRNA U6 U6 spliceosomal RNA
GUGUUCACUUCAGCAGCACAUAUACUAAAAUUGGAAUAAUACAGAGAAGAUUAGCAUGGUCCCAUCACAAGAAUUACCAUGGCCAUGCUAAUUCCACAACAGAAAACU